UACGAAGGGUGCAAGCGUUAAUCGGAAUUACUGGGCGUAAAGGGUGCGUAGGCGGUUGUUUAAGUCUGUCGUGAAAUCCCCGGGCUCAACCUGGGAAUGGCGAUGGAUACUGGGCAGCUAGAGUGUGUCAGGGGAUGGUGGAAUUCCCGGUGUAGCGGUGAAAUGCGUAGAGAUCGGGAGGAACACCAGUGGCGAAGGCGGCCUUCUGGACCAAUACUGACGCUCAUGCACGAAAGCGUGGGGAGCAAACAGG
rnacentral:rRNA from 1 species